ensembl:snRNA U6 U6 spliceosomal RNA
GUGCUGGCUUUGGCAGCACACAUACUGAAACCUGGAAUAAUACAGAGAAGAUCAGCAUGGCCCCUGUGCAAGGAUGACAUGCAAAUCUGUGAAGCGUUCUGUAUUAAA